GAAAGCCGGAUGACACCGAAAGGGUCCAGUCCGGUUUGGGAAGAGGGUAACGAAAAAGGGCCAUGAGAGCUUCUUCUGGUACCUCGUCGGUACCCCACUUCAU
rnacentral:ncRNA from 1 species